rnacentral:tRNA from 1 species
ACAAUUGACUUNCAAUCAGUUAGCUCCAGAUCAACCUGGAAAGAAGUA